CAGAGAUUAGUUUAAUUAAAAUAUUAGUUUUGGAGAUUAAUGAUGAGGUGGUACCUUUUCUCUGA
rnacentral:tRNA from 1 species